AGUGAGUUCUAUAUAUAUAUAUAUUUAUACACACACACACACUUCAGUUUUUAAUAUGAACAAUGCUAUGUAUGAAAAGAUGCAGGUGUACUACAUCUGAAUUGAUAUUUAUUUCAGGCCAGUAUUAAGAUAACCUGAUCUUCUUUCACAACGUGUAGUGACUCAGCCCCUGCCUGAAUCUCUGCACUGAGGAAGAUACAGUGGUGAUGUCAUCAAGAGGACUUUUCUGCAGAAUGCCAUCUUCCUGAUUCUGAGAAUGCAUCCUCAUCUUGAAACCGAAGUGACUCAGCCCCUACCUGAAUCUCUGCACUGAGGAAGAUACAGUGGUGAUGUCAUCAAGAGGACUUUUCUACAGAACCGUCAAGAAAGAUCGUAACUGCCCAUGGUACACCCUCGAACUUCGAGUGCUUAAAUCUGCCUGCCGCAAGCUUGAGCGCAGGUGGAGGUCGUCUGGACUAACGGUUCAGAGAGAUAUCUGGACCAACCAUCUCGCGAGCUACAGGCAUGCGCUCGCUGCGGCCAGGGUGAAAUACUUCUCUGAAAUCAUGCGGUGAUGAGCUAAGGUUUUUAGUUCCUAAUUUACAAAUCAGAUGUGUGAAAGAAAAACUACUCUGGCCCUCUGAUGAAAUUAUGCAAAUUCUGUAAGGUACCAGACUCACCUGUCUGGAAAACAAUGAGGACCGUCAGUGCCCUUUGCUGUCUGCUUGCUGCAACCCUUUUCAUGUGUGGGGGGUCUGUCACAGGCAAGCAGGUGCACUUUGGGAAAUGUGCCUUGAACCUUCACCUGCACAAUUUAAGGGAACAUUUCAACGAAAUGGACAGUUUCAUUCCCCAAGGUGAUUCGAGCAUCGCACUUCUGGAUGGAGAUGCUUUGAAUGAUAUAAAG